UCUAUUCUUUUUUUUUCAUCAACACUUUUUUUGAUCCUUAGAUUCUAAAAAGCCCAACCGAAAACUUAAAGUAUUUGCCAUUCCAAAAGAAACCCCAAACUUGGAUUUUUGCAUGUAUCAUGACAAAACAUAGAAAAAUUAAAAUAUACCUGUCGCUAUGCGAAAAAUACAGAGUCGCCAUCGGUUUUUAUUUAUUCCAAAGGAAAGGGAAAAUAUCGAGAAAACCCCAAAGAAUGGUCAUCGCAACCACGAACAGGUUCGGAAGUCGGUUAUGCAAGGGGAAGGUAUUAGCACCCCUCACAUCCAUGGUACUCCAUGGGAACCAUCUAGGAUGCUUGCGCUUAAGUGGGUGUUGUUUAUCGAAUGUUUGCUUGCCAAAGUUAAGCGGAGUGAAGGUAGAUUUUAAAUUAGUGUGCUCGCCAAGGAAUGGAUCCUCGUGCCUACGUAUGCCCACUUGUUGAAGUGAGAAAUCAUAGCUUUCGUAGUUCGUGGGUUUAAACUUGUUUGUUUGUUUUGUUGAUUUUAUUACCUUGAAGAAGAAUUUUCGAUUGUGUCGCCCUAAGGCUCAAACAAAAGGGUUGAAUGCGUUGAGUUAUUUUUAAGUUUUGGAGAAAGUGUUAUUGAUUUCGGAUUGCACUAAAGACUAUGGAUAAAGGUGAAUAUCUCAGACUACCAAGCCAAACGUCUUGUGUUCGAAGCAUUCAGAAUGAAAAGAAAGCUCCAGUCUCAUCCCUUCUUUAUCGCUUAAGGCUCGUGACGUACGAUCCUAAUCGCCAUUUAUUGUGUUUUUGGAUUUGAUUUGGAAAAGACCGCUUGAUGUUGGAUCAAGGGUUUGUUUAUUGAGUUUGACUUGAAAAAGAGACUGCUUGACGUUGGAUCAAGGGUUUGAUUAUCGAUUUUGAAUGGGUGAACGUUCCUAAUGCCUAAGGAGUAGCUAAGAAGCAAUAAAAGAAAGCAAGUAAAUGCGUACAUCGGAAAGGGGAGGGGGUACAGGUAAAGUACAAGGGAGUGCGGAAAUAAAAUGUCUAAUGUCAGGUAGCCCAAGAGAAAUCCAUGCGUGUGCAAUUGUGUCAUAAACUAGAAAGCACAUAAAAGAUUACAAUUUGUCUUGGAUCUUGAAUGCUCCAUCCAUGUUCGGGUUGAAUAUUUGUCCAAGGUAUUUUGCAAGGGUCCUAACAACAAUCUCUAAGUCCAUUCCAAUGUCCAUUACAUGUUUGAGAAUUAUCUUUUUUAUUUUUGAAGUCUUAUCCAUUUUUAGUCAUUUUUAGAUGAGAUGAAUGAAGAAUGUACAAUGAUAUAGCAAAAAUAAAAUAAAAGUAAGUAAAUGAUAAAAAGAUAAUGUUAGGAGUUAGGUGCGGAAAAGUAAAAAGUUAGAAAUUAGAAUGCGGAUAUUUAAAAGUUAGAUGUUAAUUGUUAGAUGUUAGUUGUUAGAUGUUAGAAAUCAAGAUUAAUCAUAAUCAAAAUCAAAAUCAAAAUCAAAAUCAAAAUCAAAAUCAAAAUAGAAAAUAAGAGAAUUGAAAUCAAUACAAAAAUAUAAAUCACAUGUCUAAAGUAAAACAACAUUCUAAAAUUAUCAAACAAUAUCACAAUUACGAUCAAAUUAAAAUUCUAAUGUCAAUCAAUAUCAAGUUUAAUAUUAAGUUAUUUCUAAUAUCAACAAACAAUUAUCAAAAGGUUAAGAGAAAAUGAGAUUCUAAGAUUAAAAAACCAUUAUCAAAAAUAAAAUUCUAAACAAUCAUCAAACCAUAUUCUAGAAUCAUUAACCCAAUUAUCUACAACUCUAGGCAAGUAAUCCAAUUAUCUAAUAAAUUAAUCCAAUUAUCCAAUUAUCUAAUCAAUUAAUCCAAUUGUCCGUUUAACUAAUCAAUUCACAAAGCAGCAUGGACUUGAACCAGUUAUCCAAUAGUCCGAACCUAAACCAUUUAUCCAACAGCAAAAACCCGAACACGCCUCCUCACUCACGAAGACAUCGGGAAAAGCACCAUGGAAUCUACGCUCAACCUUAUCCUCGAAAUGAAAUCGAAAACAGAAAUGUGCUAUAUGUAUAUGUUGAGGGAAGACGUACCUUACCGUGCGUGUCGCUAAUGUUCGCCGCUCUCCAAUCACUGUGUAUCGAAGCUGAAGGCAAAAAUUCCACUCGACUCGUCGUUACGCUGCGGUGAAGGAAGCAUACUCUAUUCAAAUCGUCCUUGCAUCGUGAAUCCAGAUUCGGUUCGACCUUGUUGCUAGCAAGUAUUCCUUUCCUCCUUCUUCGCACUUCUCUUCUUCUUCUUCUUCUUACGAGUCCACACGUGAAAGCAAUGGUGAGAGUGGAGCGUUGAUUGGUGGUUUAGCUCUGCCGUGUAGAGCUUCGAAUGUUGAAGCUCUCACAACAAUGGAGUGAGCGUGUACUAAGGGUUAGGGAAAGAGUGCAGAACUCGUUUUUGGAUCAGAAAAAUUCGGCCCCAAUGAUUGGCAAUGAUUGCCCUAUUUAUAGCGUGAUCCAAGAGGGUCGUUUGGGGAAUUCGUUCUGAGUGGUUGGGCCUUGAUUUAUCCAGUUGGCAAAGGUUUUUAUUUUCUUGUAAAAUUUGAUAAUAAGUGAGAAAAGAGUGAGUCGUGUGGGAUUUUGGUAAAUAACACACGUGCGUUUUAUUCUCUAAUUCAUUUGUUUGAUUUUAUAUCCAACUGUGGAUAUGCACUGCAUUGCCUUGGGAGCGGUUUUAACCGAAUUGUUCAAUCUUGCAAGUUUAACCAAACUUACACUUAUUAUGGCAUUUGACUCUCACUGCAGGACACCUGCUGAUGCAAUGGAUGGCUCAUCUUGGACCCAACUCCAUGACCAUUAGUUCAGCUUGUAGGACACUCACCUUAGGCCUCUUGAGACUUGCUUGAUAUUCAACGAUAGUUAUAUCGAAAGGGCUCAUGAUGAUGGUUAUGCGGUCAGGUGCAGGGUGAUUUUCGGUUAUCCCGAAGAUAUUGCUGCAGGCCUGAAGGAUGCAGGUUCGGUUUCGAUGUCGUUUAUUUGUUUUGGAAUUUCGGCUCAGUUUGUUGUCGUUCGCAGGUCAUGGCAUGUUGGUGAGAAGUCGUUCAUCUAUGGCUGCAUUUUGUGGUUUGGUUGUCGGCGUGGCUUACGCGUUGCCUUCAGAAGCUUUUGAUGGAGACUCGGGAGUGCUAGCAGCGUUGUUACGUUGGGAUGCUGCACUUUGGUCAUUUCCUCUUACGAGCAAUUUCAGUAGUAAUAGAUGGUUAUGGCUUGUAAGGUUGCAGUACCGUUCCACAAAGUGCCGGUGCAUCACUAUCAAAACCAUCCUAUGACUCUGAAUCCACCCAACAACAAGAGUUUGUCCAAAAAUAACCUGUCGUGCUGGAUCGUGGACAUUGCAGGAUGCGACACGCUUAUGUCGCUCGUACAGCUUCCACUUUGUUGGAUCGCGGUAGCUUCCAUACACAUAUAUAUGAUGGCAUCUUGAUCUCCUAGCCAAUCACGUCCUUUGACAGUGUCAUACAUGUGCCACCUCCAGUCAUCUUCAGUCAUAUUUCCCGAUGCCGCAUGAAUGCCACCCUGAGCUGCAACAGUGCGUGAAUAAGUUGGGAAAAGCUUAGUAAUACAAGCAGUAUUGAAUCCAUGUCCUGAAAGUCCAAUAGCAGCUCUCAAACCAACACCACCAGCCCCUACCACAAUUGCAUUAUAAGUAUGAUCUCUGCAUUUCGAUUUUGGUGAUUUCGCGUUUUCUCUCUGAAUGUGGCUUGUUUUCCUCAGUUGUAACAACAGCGGGAAUGGUUAUCACUGCUGCCUAAUCUUACCAUGGAUAUAUUUGGCCUCAUAGCUAAUAAUGCUGGAGGCGUUGUAGAAACGAGCUGGCAUCCUGAAAGUGUUUGAGAGAUCAUGGAUAUCCUUGACGUCAUGGGUAACACAACCAAAGCCACCGCUUAGCUCUGCUGCACUUACGUCUUUCCUCCUGUUUAGUGCUAAUGUUGAUAUUGGAAUUCCUUUGAAAAGUUUACAUGGAAAGGUUGAAUUGAAUGAUGUGAAUGUGUGGGAAUUAAGAUUAUGUAUGGAUUUGUGAUUGUGUAAUUGACUUGAGGUUAAAUGGAUAUGAAUUAUUGGAUUUGGAUUUAAUUGGA